rnacentral:rRNA from 1 species
GACGAACGCUGGCGGCGUGCUUAACACAUGCAAGUCGAACGGAAAGGCCCUGCUUUUGUGGGGUGCUCGAGUGGCGAACGGGUGAGUAACACGUGAGUAACCUGCCCUUGACUUUGGGAUAACUUCAGGAAACUGGGGCUAAUACCGGAUAGGAGCUCCUGCUGCAUGGGGGGGGUUGGAAAGUUUCGGCGGUUGGGGAUGGACUCGCGGCUUAUCAGCUUGUUGGUGGGGUAGUGGCUUACCAAGGCUUUGACGGGUAGCCGGCCUGAGAGGGUGACCGGCCACAUGGGGACUGAGAUACGGCCCAGACUCCUACGGGAGGCAGCAGUGGGGAAUAUUGCACAAUGGGCGGAAGCCUGAUGCAGCAACGCCGCGUGCGGGAUGACGGCCUUCGGGCUGUAAACCGCUUUCGCCUGUGACGAAGCGUGAGUGACGGUAAUGGGUAAAGAAGCACCGGCUAACUACGUG